GAUGACAGUUAAGUUUAGGAUAAAGAUCGUGGUUUAGAUUAAAACACUCCUGAGGAACAAACAAGUGUUUCAUUGGUGAAAGUAAUUAAAAUGUAUAUUAUU